GCCAGGCACGGUGGCACAUGCCUGUAGUCCCAGUUAUUUGGGAGGCUGAGGUGGGAGGAUCACUUGAGCCCAGGAGUUCUGGGCUAUAGUGCACUAUGCUGAUUGGGUGUCUGCACUAAGUUCGGCAUCAAUAUGGUGACCUCCCAGGAGCAGGGGACCACCAGGUUGCAUAAGGAGGGGUGAACCAGCCCAGGUCAGAAACAGAGCAGGUCUAAACUUCCAUGCUGAUCAGUAGUGGGAUCAUACCUGUGAAUAGCCACUGCACUCCAGCCUGGGCAACAUAGUGAGAUCCAGUCUCAA
rnacentral:SRP_RNA from 13 species